UAGGGAAUAUUGGGCAAUGGAGGCAACUCUGACCCAGCCAUGCCGCGUGAGGGAUGAAGGUCCUUCGGAUUGUAAACCUCUUUUACACGGGAAGAAAAACUGCCGUUCACGGCAGCUUGACGGUACCGUGGGAAUAAGCACCGGCUAACUCCGUGCCAGCAGCCGCGGUAAUACGGAGGGUGCGAGCGUUAUCCGGAAUCACUGGGUUUAAAGGGUACGUAGGCGGCCUAGUAAGUCAGCGGUGAAAGUUCCCGGCUCAACCGGGGAACUGCCGUUGAUACUGCUUGGCUUGAAACAGGCGGAGGCGUGCGGAAUGCGUCAUGUAGCGGUGAAAUGCAUAGAUAUGACGUAGAACACCGAUUGCGAAGGCAGCGCGCCACACUUAGUUUGACGCUGAGGU
rnacentral:rRNA from 1 species